GUUUUAUGAUUAGGCCCAAAUUACCAUCUUUUUAAUGUAAUAGAUUAUAGAUUUCAUGCAAAGGUCUAAUUUUAAACCAAAGUCCAUAUGAGUUAUUUUUAAUUAGCAAUCAUACAUCAAUCAUGUACUGUUACUACUUUACAUAUUACAAGGGUACAAAAGUGAAAGGAAAAAGACAAGAAAAAUAAUAAAGUUACAUCCCUCCUACAACUACUUGACGAAAAAUAAGUAAAAACUAACUAAAACGAGUGUAAGACAGUGAAAUUAGGUGAAAAUUGCAAAAAAUGAGCGGACUAGGAACGAACAGUCGAUCGGCUCUGCGUAUAGUCGACCGGUUGUAUGCUGAGCUGAUCGACUCUGUGGCUCCUUAAGCAACAAAUCGACCAUUUUGAUGAGUCUUCCAAUUUUUAAUAAUUCCAGGCUCCUAAACACCCCGAGAAUCUAUCAAAACACAUAAAAAUAAAGCAAAAACAAUUAGCGUGUGAUUAAAAUGAGGAAAAUAAAGCUUAUCAUCUAUAAAACAGUGGAUUCGAGUCUAAGCACAUGAAAAAAGGCAAUUCAAAACAAACAUGCAUUAAUCUUAGUCAAAAUAUAAACUGAUAUGAAAAUUAACUAUCUAAUAUGCUGGAUUGAUUAAUCAUUCAUAAGGAAUCGCAAAACAAAACUAAUAGAUCCUAAGCAUGUUGGCAAUCAAGUGGUCAGAUUAAAAAGAAAGCAUAUUAUCAGAUGGUAAAUGGAAAAUUAAAAAAAUCAUAUUUCUAUUGAACGAGAGUUUUAUUUUAUCUAAUCUUAAUCAUGGUAAAUCUUUUAAUCAAUCACCCUAGCAUGCAAAUAUAAUCCAAUAUCUUAGAAGUUAUCAGAUUCAAACCCUAGACAUGAAGAUCUAAUAAAAAAACAAGGCAAUAUGUGACUGAGAUCGUAUUAAGAAAAUCAUAUCUAAGCUAACAUCAAGAUCAAUGCUUAUAAAGAUUAAGAAAAGAAAUCAUAAAGGA
rnacentral:lncRNA from 1 species